rnacentral:rRNA from 1 species
GACGUAGGGCGCGAGCGUUGUCCGGAUUUAUUGGGCGUAAAGAGCUCGUAGGCGGUUAGUCGCGUCUGCUGUGAAAACUCGGGGCUUAACUCCGGGCCUGCAGUGGGUACGGGCUGACUAGAGUGCGGUAGGGGAGACUGGAAUUCCUGGUGUAGCGGUGAAAUGCGCAGAUAUCAGGAGGAACACCGGUGGCGAAGGCGGGUCUCUGGGCCGUAACUGACGCUGAGGAGCGAAAGCGUGGGGAGCGAACAGG